AUCCAGCUGACAAGUCCGAAAUAUGACGAAAUGCGUGUCCUGGAU
rfam:Schistosoma curassoni strain Dakar, Senegal genome assembly, scaffold: SCTD_scaffold0004450